CAUCCUCCAAGGCUAAAUACUCCUGACUGACCGAUAGUGAACCAGUACCGUGAGGGAAAGGCGAAAAGAACCCCGGCGAGGGGAGUGAAAAAGAACCUGAAACCGUGUACGUACAAGCAGUGGGAGCCCCACCACCAAAGCAUUCUCUGGUGUUGAAGGCCCUGCAAAGCAGCAUCGCGGUGGCGGAGCGUCGUUUGCGACGCCCAACACACAAAACAAGCGGUGAAUGCUUUGGGGUGGGGUGACUGCGUACCUUUUGUAUAAUGGGUCAGCGACUUAUAUUCUGUAGCAAGGUUAACCGAAUAGGGGAGCCGGAGGGAAACCGAGUCUUAAUUGGGCGUUAAGUUGCAGGGUAUAGACCCGAAACCCGGUGAUCUAGCCAUGGGCAGGUUGAAGGUUGGGUAACACUAACUGGAGGACCGAACCGACUAAUGUUGAAAAAUUAGCGGAUGACCUGUGGCU
rnacentral:rRNA from 1 species